rnacentral:snRNA from 1 species
AGCUUUGUGCAAUGGCCGUAUCGUAGCCAAUGAGAUUUAUGCAAGGCACAAUUACUGCUAAUUGAAACUACGAGUGGAGUGUUAAAAUGCAGAAUUCUGGGGCUGGGAGAAGCCUUGAAUUUGAUUUAACUUUCCCACUUCAA